rnacentral:rRNA from 1 species
CAAUUUAAAUUUACUUUUUAAUAAAUUUAUUUUCAACUAUUUCAAAAUUCUAUUACUAUACUAAUUUACUAUAAAAUUUCUAAUUUUUUCUAUUAAAAUACUAUAACCCCCAUUAUUUAUUUUAAUAUUAAAAUUACUUUUAUUAAUUAUUCAAAAUUAAUUUUCCACUUA